UCAAGAGAAAGCUUGGGGAACUACUGCUGAAGAAUUUUGAUCUUAAACUCACUGUCAUGACAUCUGCCUAAUUCUUGAAUCCUAAAGUCCUCUCUGAGAUUAAUAUAAUGACCACUACUGUUUUCCCUUUGCAUUCUUCUGGAGUACAUUUGCUGAUUUACUCUAUAUCAGGCUCUUCUCAGUAGGAAGUAGAGAAAUCCACAUAGCACGGAACCGGAACCGAAAGCAGCCGCCAAUCAACUGUCUGCAAGAAACUGAGGUUUUCAAGCCAAAAGCCCUUGAAGAACUGAAUCUGAUCAACUGAAUUGAAUCCUGUGAAUUUGAAGACACAAGCGAAGAAACUCUUCUCAGCUGCAAACGGUCAUGACUACACACGGUGCUUGGAACUGCUGAGGCAACCUGCAACCAGGAGCAGAGACCAUGCUUGCUAUUGCUGAGAAAAGGAAAGCAGAAAGACAGAAGGCAAAAAGGGACAUCUCUUAGAAAGCAUAAGCAGAUGAGCAAGAAGCUUAUUCAAACCAUCCGAAGAAACAGCAUUUGAAAGCCCGUCUGAUGGACGAAAAGGUGUCUCUUUCACUGAACGAAGAUACUCGGUUUUUCUUAAAAUGGUUUGCCUAAUGUUUUCCAGUGCGGUCUCUCUAGCAGUGGAAUCUCUACUGCACAGUCCAUCCCACCUCACUUCAUUCUCUCCUUCAGCCAUGACAACUGGAGAUUUCUCUUUGCAGUCUUCAGUUACCCUUCAGCAUGUUCCCAAAAGCACUUCGUAUUUUUAAAACGAGGAAUGUAAGAAUAAAACCAGAGAAAUCGAAUCGUCAU